rnacentral:rRNA from 1 species
GUCGAGCGGUAACAUUUCUAGCUUGCUAGAAGAUGACGAGCGGCGGACGGGUGAGUAAUACUUAGGAAUCUACCUAGUAGUGGGGGAUAGCACGGGGAAACUCGUAUUAAUACCGCAUACGACCUACGGGAGAAAGGGGGCUGUUUACAGCUCUCGCUAUUAGAUGAGCCUAAGUCGGAUUAGCUAGAUGGUGGGGUAAAGGCCUACCAUGGCGACGAUCUGUAGCUGGUCUGAGAGGAUGAUCAGCCACACCGGAACUGAGACACGGUCCGGACUCCUACGGGAGGCAGCAGUGGGGAAUAUUGGACAAUGGGGGAAACCCUGAUCCAGCCAUGCCGCGUGUGUGAAGAAGGCCUUUUGGUUGUAAAGCACUUUAAGCAGUGAAGAAGACUCCGUGGUUAAUACCCAUGGACGAUGACAUUAGCUGCAGAAUAAGCACCGGCUAACUCUGUGCCAGCAGCCGCGGUAAUACAGAGGGUGCAAGCGUUAAUCGGAAUUACUGGGCGUAAAGGGAGCGUAGGUGGCUCUAUAAGUCAGAUGUGAAAUCCCCGGGCUCAACCUGGGAACUGCAUCUGAAACUGUAGAGCUAGAGUAUGUGAGAGGGAGGUAGAAUUUCAGGUGUAGCGGUGAAAUGCGUAGAGAUCUGAAGGAAUACCGAUGGCGAAGGCAGCCUCCUGGCAUAAUACUGACACUGAGGCUCGAAAGCGUGGGUAGCAAACA